GUGAAAAGCCCGCUCGCCGGAAGACCAAGGGUUCCUGUCCAACGUUAAUCGGGGCAGGGUGAGUCGACCCCUAAGGCGAGGCCGAAAGGCGUAGUCGAUGGGAAACAGGUUAAUAUUCCUGUACUUGGUGUUACUGCGAAGGGGGGACGGAGAAGGCUAUGUUAGCCGGGCGACGGUUGUCCCGGUUUAAGCAUGUAGGCUGGUUGUCCAGGCAAAUCCGGAUAAUCAAGGCUGAGGUGUGAUGACGAGGCACUACGGUGCUGAAGUAACAAAUGCCCUGCUUCCAGGAAAAGCCUCUAAGCAUCAGGUAACAUCAAAUCGUACCCCAAACCGACACAGGUCGUCAGGUAGAGAAUACCAAGGCGCUUGAUAGAACUCGGGUGAAGGAACUAUGCAAAAUGGUGCCGUAACUACGGGAGAAGGCACGCUGGUGUGUAGGUGAAGUUCAUGCGGAUGGAGCUGCGACCAGUCGAAGAUCCCAGCUGGCUGCAACUGUUUAUUACAAACACAGCACUGUGCAAACACGA
rnacentral:rRNA from 1 species